UACGUAGGGUGCGAGCGUUGUCCGGAAUUAUUGGGCGUAAAGAGCUCGUAGGCGGUUUGUUGCGUCGGCCGUGAAAACCUGCAGCUUAACUGUGGGCCUGCGGCCGAUACGGGCAGACUUGAGUUCGGUAGGGGAGACUGGAAUUCCUGGUGUAGCGGUGAAAUGCGCAGAUAUCAGGAGGAACACCGGUGGCGAAGGCGGGUCUCUGGGCCGAUAUUGACGCUGAGGAGCGAAAGCCAGGGGAGCAAACGGG
rnacentral:rRNA from 1 species